rnacentral:rRNA from 1 species
AUUGAACGCUGGCGGCAGGCCUAACACAUGCAAGUCGAGCGGAUGAAGGGAGCUUGCUCCUGGAUUCAGCGGCGGACGGGUGAGUAAUGCCUAGGAAUCUGCCUGGUAGUGGGGGAUAACGUCCGGAAACGGGCGCUAAUACCGCAUACGUCCUGAGGGAGAAAGUGGGGGAUCUUCGGACCUCACGCUAUCAGAUGAGCCUAGGUCGGAUUAGCUAGUUGGUGGGGUAAAGGCCUACCAAGGCGACGAUCCGUAACUGGUCUGAGAGGAUGAUCAGUCACACUGGAACUGAGACACGGUCCAGACUCCUAAGGGAGGCAGCAGUGGGGAAUAUUGGACAAUGGGCGAAAGCCUCAUCCAGCCAUGCCGCGUGUGUGAAGAAGGUCUUCGGAUUGUAAAGCACUUUAAGUUGGGAGGAAGGGCAGUAAGUUAAUACCUUGCUGUUUUGACGUUACCAACAGAAUAAGCACCGGCUAACUUCGUG